rnacentral:rRNA from 1 species
CCUACGGGUGGCAGCAGUAGGGAAUUUUCGGCAAUGGGGGGAACCCUGACCGAGCAACGCCGCGUGAACGAAGAAGUAUUUCGGUAUGUAAAGUUCUUUUUUUGGAGAAGAAAGAGAAAUUUGACGGUAACCAAUGAAUAAACUCCGGCGAACUACGUGCCAGCACCCGCGGUAAUACGUAGGGAGCGAGCGUUAUCCGGAAUUAUUGGGCGUAAAGGGUGCGUUUAUGGUUGUGAUAAGUCUUUUGUAAAAAUGCUGGGCUAAACCUGGUAGGGCAAAAGAUACUGAUGAACUAGAGUACGGCAGAGGCAAGUGGAACUACAAGUGUAGCGGUAAAAUGCGUAAAUAUAUGUCAGAACACCGGUGGCGAAGGCGGCUUGCUGGGCCUGUACUGACAUUGAGGCACGAAAGCGUGGGGAGCAAACAGGAUUAGAUACCCGUGUAGUC